CGCGCUGGCCCGUGUACAAGUCUCCUGGAAAGGAGCGUCCUAGAGGGUGAGAAUCCCGUCUUUGACACGGACUACCAGUGCUAUGUGAUGCGCUCUCGUCGAGUCGAGUUGCUUGGGAACGCAGCUCAAAACGGGUGGUAAAUUCCAUCUAAAGCUAAAUACAGGCGAGAGACCGAUAGCGAACAAGUACCGUGAGGGAAAGAUGAAAAGAACUUUGGAAAGAGAGUUAAACCGUACGUGAAAUUGCUGAAAGGGAAACGCUUGAUGUCAGUCGCGUCGGCCGGGGAUCAUCCUUGCUUCAUCGCUCGGUGUACUUCCUGGUCGACGGGUCAGCAUCGGUUUCGGUCGCCGUACAAGGGCGAGGGGAACGUGGCACUCCUCGGAGUGCGUUAUAGCCCUUCGUCGUAUGCGGUGGUCGGGACCGAGGAACUCAGCACGGCAUCACGGCC
rnacentral:rRNA from 2 species